rnacentral:rRNA from 1 species
AGCGAACGCUAGCGGCGGGCCUAACACAUGCAAGUCGAGCGCAUACCUUCGGGUAUGAGCGGCGGACGGGUGAGUAACGCGUAGGUCAUCUACCCUUUGGUGGGGGAUAACCCAGGGAAACUUGGGCUAAUACCGCACGAGGUCUACGGAUCAAAGCCUUCGGGCGCCAGAGGAUGAGCCUGCGUCGCAUUACCUAGUUGGCGGGGUAACGGCCCACCAAGGGGACGAUGCGUAGCUGGUCUGAGAGGAUGAUCAGCCACACUGGGACUGAGACACGGCCCAGACUCCUACGGGAGGCAGCAGUGGGGAAUAUUGCGCAAUGGGGGGAAACCCUGACGCAGCCACGCCGCGUGGGUGAUGAAGGCCUUCGGGUUGUAAAGCCCUGUCGGGAGGGACGAAUUCUUGACGGUACCUCCAAAGAAAGCACCGGCUAACUCCGUGCCAGCAGCCGCG